ensembl:misc_RNA Metazoa_SRP Metazoan signal recognition particle RNA
GCCAGGCGCCGUGGUGCGUGCCUGUAGUCCCAGCUACUCAGGAGGUUGAGGUGGGAGGUUCGCUUGAGCCCAGGAGUUCUGGGCUGUAGUGCACUAUGCUGAUUGGGUGUCUGCACUAAGUUCGGCAUCAGUAUGGUGACUUCCUGGGAGCGGGGGACCACCAGGUUGCCUAAAGAGGGGCGAACCGGCCCAGGUCAGAAAUGGAGCAGAUCAAUACUGAUCAGUAGUGGGAUUGCGCCUGUGAAUAGCCACUGCACUCCAGCCUGGGAAACAUAGCGAGACCCCAUCUCUU